GCCGGUGUGGCUCAGUGGGCAGAGCCUCGGCCUGAGGACCGAAGGGCCCCGGGUUCAAUUCCGGUCAAGGGCA
rnacentral:tRNA from 1 species